GGGUCAGUAGGUUGGUCGUGCCACCGGUACGUACUGGUCUCACUGAUUCCUCCUUCCUGAAGAACCGUAAUGCCAUUAAUUUGGUGUUGCGGGGAAACAGGACUGUUACUUUGAAAAAAUUAGAGUGUUUAAAGCAAGCUAACGCUUGAAUACAUUAGCAGGGAAUAAUGAAAUAGGACGAUCGAUCCUAUUUUGUUGGCUUCUAGGAUUGACGUA
rnacentral:rRNA from 1 species